GUACGAAUUACCCAAAUGGUAAUAGUGCAUCACGCAAAAGAUGUAAACAAAGUGUAGGAAGAAACAUUUUGCAGAUGACAAUUAUUUUAUUGCCAAAUUCCCACUGAUGUAUAAUGGCUCAGACUGCCAUUAGAGAUGUUUCCUUGACCUCUCACAUCCGGGACCCCGGGGCCAGGGUACGGGAGCUGUGUAAUUAUGCAUGUAAAGUCGAGAUAGAUCCACAGAUCCCACCCAGGAGGUACCUUAGAUCAGGCCAUGAAAUGCUGCGAAUGGCAAAGGUCUACCAGGAUGAGAAGAAUUAUGAACAAGCAUUUAUUCUUUACACCAAAUUUAUAUCACUGUUUGUUGAAAAAUUGCCAAACACCCAGACUACAAAUCAGCUCCUGUAAUGAUGUUACAGGAAUUAAAAAGAAAGUAAAGCUUGUAUUUCCAAUCGCAGAAGAAUUGAAAACUAUAUUAAAGAAGAAAUACACAGAAAUAGAAAAGAAAAGACAAGAGGAAGAGAGACUGAAACAAGAAGAAUUAGAGAGAGAACAAGAAAGACAGAGGAAAGAAGAGGAGGCGAGACAGCAAGAGGAGGAAGCCAGGAAUCUAGAGGCUCGCAGUGAAGCAGAAGCAAGAUGGUUGGAUGAGCAGGAGCGCAAAUUAAAAGAACUGAAAGAGAAAGAGUUACUGAAAAAUAUUGACCAAGACAGCGAGAGCAAUGAGAACACUGUUAAAGGAGAGAACUUGGCAGGCUUAAACAACCAGCGUCCAUCUGCGACGGCUGGGAAUCUAACAUAUAUACACAAUGAUCUGGGAGAAAAACCAGUGGAGAAAAAUUUGAUGAAGGAUUCUCAGUAUCCCAGUAUUCCUGAUAGAGAACUAAAGAAAAAUCUAGUCAUUUCUGAUUACUCCACCCCAUCAGUCAAUGGUGCCCCCAAUUUUGACAGAGGCACUAAACCUGACCAUUUCACCAGCACUGGGUUCUCAGGCCUGCGUCAGGUGAUAGUACCCUCUGAUUUGAUGAGGAAGUUCAUGGUCCUGCUGAACACAACACUCUGAGAAACAUUGAAACAUGUGGUAUUCUUGCUGGCAAGAUGGUACAUGACAGUUUUCACAUCACACACGUGCUGGUUCCAAAGCAGUCAGGGACCACAGACACCUGUGUGGCGGAGGAUGAGGAGGACCUGUUUAUGUACCAGGACCCCCGCGAUCUCAUCACACUCGGAUGGAUCCAUACACAUCCAAGCCAGACAGCUUUCCUGUCCAGUGUUGACAUGCACAAUCAAUAUGGCUACCAGGCCAUGCUUCCAGAGGCUAUUGCUAUUGUGUGUGCACCAAAGUAUCAAGAGACUGGAAUAUUUACUCUGACUUCCGACCGGGGCCUUCCAGAGAUUGGUCAAUGUAGAGAAAGGGGAUUUCACCAACACACUAAGACACCACCUUUAUUUGAUAAUUGUGCACAUGUCAGUGUAGUAGAUACAGAAAGAAUUGAAAUGGUGGACUUGAGACAAAAGUGAUGUCAACGACCUUACCCACAGGAUUGUGUAUGGAGACAAAAUCCUCAUUAUUUCAACUGAUGCCACUGCAAGUGUAUUGAACCUUGUGCUUUGUUAAGUCUAGCCUUUAAACAUUUAAUUUAUAUAAACCAAUACUUUCUGUGUUUAUUUUAUAAAAGUGUUUACAUGUUAUUGAAACUGGCAUUGUCCUGUCUAUCAGUUUGUCUUUGUUGCCAAUGUUAUUAAUAUUCUCACCUUCUGAACUAAAGAGCCCCAUCAAUUGCAGUCAUGUGAGAUAGGGCAAGACCAGAUAUUAGAUUACCGGUUACAGGAACGUUAAUCAUUUCAUAAAUCAAUGCAGGAUUACUGUAGAGAUUUUGUAACACAAGUGUCAAGCUGUCUGUCUGUCUGUCUGUCUAUGUUCGUGCAUAUUAAGUUACAGAACAAAUUCAGCUGUGAACAUGACUGUAGCAUACUCUUCAUAUAAUCAGUUUUGUAAUCUCAGACUUCAAAAUGUUAAUACAUGGUAUCCAGAAAAGCAGUCAAGACGAUGGUGAUUUUCCCAUCAGUUUACUGGACAGUUUCAAAAAUAAGUAACUACCAUUAAAAGAUCUUUUCUUUAGUCUGUUGCAUGUACAAAAGGUAGAAACAUAUGGAUCAAAUCUAACUGAAUUCAGAACAGUAAAAUUAAAUUUUCAUAUUGUGGUGAAAUCUGCAAGGAAUGUUGGAAAAAUUAUUGUUUCUAACGCAAGACAUUAGCACUACCAGUAUUUUGCUUUGACCUUGAAGAAGUGAAAACUAUUUACUGUCAUCAGUGAACAAAGUGGCUCAUUUACUGUUACUUGUUACUCUGUAUUUCAGGCUUUUGUAGGCUGUGUUUUAUCUUAUUUUAUACAAGUUUCAUGUACAAGUACAUGCGCUAAUAAGAUGUAAAAGAAGGAAUUUAUGUCAAUUGAUUUAAAGCCUUCUGAAUGUAUUCUAUUGUAUUUGGGAUGUUCUUUGUUUUGUGAUGGGUAGAUGUUACACUUUAUUUCUUUUUUCUUUUUUUUUUUUAUUAUUUUUUUUUUACAAAUAAGAGAAGCAUUACUGUAACACGUUUAUCACAAAAGCAAAGACAGUUUUAAUGGAAAGGGCAUUUUUAUCAUGUCUAUUGAUAUUACAAUAUGAUUUUUGUAAUAUACAGGUAUGUAUACUUUAUUAUCAUAUUUAGAGCAUGCCUAGUAGAAAUGAGUAAGAAUUUCAAGUUUGAAUCAAAUCUGGAAUAUAAACUAGAUAGCUUUAUAUUUUGUUAGGUACAACUUUUAGAUUUAAGUUUUUACAUUCAGUGAAUCCAUAUAGUGAAUGGUGUUCUUCAACUACCUGGUAUAUCAAAUACAUGUAUAUAUAUACACAUACACAGGGUUGUCUCUAAAAAUUGAAGUAGAAGGAGGAAAUGAAAAAGUAGCAGGGGGUUUGGGGGUUUUCCUUAUAGCACAUUGUGUUUGAAAUGCAUAAUAGCCGGGUAAUUAAGACAUAUAGCGGGGAAUUGUCUUGAAGUCAUAACUACCUGAGAUGAAUUGGAUCCAACAUUACCUCCAAUAUCUUUGAAAAUGAUUACAUACAAUGUCUGUGAUCUACUUUUACUUGUAAAUACUAGGGAUCUACUACUGAAUGGGAUACAUGUACCUUAUUUUACUUUUUCACAUAGUAUGUGUACCAUGAAUCUGCAUGUAAUACCAUGGAUCUUCAUUUAGGUAUCAAAAAUACCUACUUUUACAUUUAAAUUGUAUGUAAUAUUUAUAUGAAACAAACAAACUAGUUACUGCUUGCCCUAUACUUAUUGUUUUAGUUACAGUAAAUACAUGUACUGGUAUUCUGUUGUCUGCAAAAUUUAGGCAUUGAAUGCACGUAUUCAUGCAGUAUUUUAUUUGUAAUAAAAUGUACAUAUAUCAAUGAAUUACAUGUAAAUAAAACGUUAAAUAAAAGUAUUCAUUUUUUUGUUUUCAUCACUGGGGAGUCUUCCAUUCAUACAGCCCCUUGUUACAUUCUGCCCAAUAUGGAAGAGCCUUCAUACGGCGGUACCACAUUGCCAGGUCUGGCCACUUAUCCAUCAUGUAACCUUUAAUCUCAGUCAAUGAUAUGUUUGUUGCCAUGGAGAUGUCCACAAUUGUGAGGUCGUCACCGGUCAUGUAUCGUUGGCCACCAUCUAGGUUUCGGUUGAGGUAUUCAAAUGCUUUCUUCAUCGCAGCCUCUUUAUCUGGAUCAGGGGGCUUCCCUUGAAAGAGCUGGGGAUAC
rnacentral:sRNA from 1 species